rnacentral:lncRNA from 1 species
AAGGUGAUGAAUGUGAAGGUGGAUUCUUCAUGGAGCUCCACACUCAGGAUCUGAGAUGUGGUCUUGCCCUGUUGUCCAGGCCGGAGCACAGUGGUGCAAUCCUACCUCACUGCACCCUCUAACUCCUGGACUCAAGUAAUCCUCCUACCUCAACCUGCACGUAGCUGAGACUCCAGGCGUGAGCCAUCGUGCCUGGCUAUUUUUUGUAUUUUAAUUUUCUGUAGAGAUGGGGUCUCGUCAUAUUGCCCAGAUUGGUCUUGAACUCCUGGCCUCAAGUGAUCCUCCCACCUCAUCCUCCCAACCCCGUUUCUUUUCAGUCAGACAACCAGCCUGGUCUUUAUUACACUGGUUCAGAGUCAGCUGGAAAAGAAUUCUCUUUUCCUGGGCCAGGCAAUCAGUGUUCAAGUCCCAGUGGGAUCUCAUUCGAGUCAUGUGACUUUGGGCCGGUUCUUCACCUCUGAGAACCUCAGUUUCUCCACCUGUAAAAUGGAUGUGGCACUAGAGCCUGUACCACUUGCCUUGUAGGGAUGUGGCAAGUCUCAAAGGUGGUGAUAUAAGGGGAGCGUUGGGUAAACUGUAACUCUCAGCUAUCUGAAUGUGCGCCUGUUCUCUCUCACGUUAGGAACCGUAGCAAGGCACUAGAAGAGGUUAUAUUUUAUAUAUAUAUUAUUUUUUAUAUUAUUAUAUAUUAAUGUUAUACAAAAUACAUUAUAAAUGUAAAUUAUAUUAUUAUAUAUUAAUGUAAUACAAAUAUUACAUUUUAUCUACAAAUCAUUUGGCUGAGCCUUGGAUGUCAAUUGGGCUGUUUAAUGCCCUGACGAAGAUCUCUUAUACAUCCAUAUGAGAAAGGGUUUCUAUACUGGAAGAUACUGCCUCUCUUUUUACAUGCAAGGACCUUGCUAAAGUGCAGUUUCUGAUUCACUGGGUCUGACGCAGGACUGGAGAUUGAUUCUGCAUUUUCCUCAAACUCCCAGGUCAUACCCAUGCUGCAGGUAUCACAUUUAGUAGCAAGAAUGUAGGAAACAUGGUCUUUUCUGGUGGCUCUCUUGAUGUUUUGCUACACUUGUAUUUACUUGUCUCAACUAGACUCCACCUCCUGCAGUCUCACAUGACCCAUGCAACUCAACGGAAGUCAUACAACAAUCACUAGCAGUAAGUACCCGCAGCUGUAGAAACAAACAAACAAAUGAAAAAACCCAAACAAUAACGUUUGCACAAGGAC